rnacentral:rRNA from 1 species
GAUGAACGCUAGCGGCAGGCUUAAUACAUGCAAGUCGAGGGGCACUUCGGUGUCAGUGGCAGACGGGUGAGUAACACGUGGGAACGUACCUCUUGGUUCGGAACAACACAGGGAAACUUGUGCUAAUACCGGAUAAGCCCUUACGGGGAAAGAUUUAUCGCCGAGAGAUCGGCCCGCGUCUGAUUAGCUAGUUGGUAGGGUAAUGGCCUACCAAGGCGACGAUCAGUAGCUGGUCUGAGAGGAUGAUCAGCCACACUGGGACUGAGACACGGCCCAGACUCCUACGGGAGGCAGCAGUGGGGAAUAUUGGACAAUGGGCGCAAGCCUGAUCCAGCCAUGCCGCGUGAGUGAUGAAGGCCUUAGGGUUGUAAAGCUCUUUCGCCGACGAAGAUAAUGACGGUAGUCGGAGAAGAAGCCCCGGCUAACUUCGUGCCAGCCGCCGCGGUAAUAC